GCAAGUCGAACGGUAACAGGCCGCAAGGUGCUGACGAGUGGCGAACGGCUGAGUAAUGCAUCGGAACGUGCCCAGUCGUGGGGGAUAACGCAGCGAAAGCUGCGCUAAUACCGCAUACGAUCUAUGGAUGAAAGCGGGGGACUGUAAGGCCUCGCGCGAUUGGAGCGGCCGAUGUCAGAUUAGGUAGUUGGUGGGGUAAAGGCUCACCAAGCCAACGAUCUGUAGCUGGUCUGAGAGGACGACCAGCCACACUGGAACUGAGACACGGUCCAGACUCCUACGGGAGGCAGCAGUGGGGAAUUUUGGACAAUGGGCGCAAGCCUGAUCCAGCAAUGCCGCGUGCAGGAAGAAGGCCUUCGGGUUGUAAACUGCUUUUGUACGGAACGAAACGGUCUGAGUUAAUACCUCGGGCUAAUGACGGUACCGUAAGAAUAGGCACCGGCUAACUACGUGCCAGCAGCCGCGGUAAUACGUAGGGUGCAAGCGUUAAUCGGAAUUACUGGGCGUAAAGCGUGCGCAGGCGGUGAUGUAAGACAGUCGUGAAAUCCCCGGGCUCAACCUGGGAAUUGCGAUUGUGACUGCAUCGCUGGAGUGCGGCAGAGGGGGAUGGAAUUCCGCGUGUAGCAGUGAAAUGCGUAGAUAUGCGGAGGAACACCGAUGGCGAAGGCAAUCCCCUGGGCCUGCACUGACGCUCAUGCACGAAAGCGUGGGGAGCAAACAGGAUUAGAUACCCUGGUAGUCCACGCCCUAAACGAUGUCAACUGGUUGUUGGGUCUCUUCUGACUCAGUAACGAAGCUAACGCGUGAAGUUGACCGCCUGGGGAGUACGACCGCAAGGUUGAAACUCAAAGGAAUUGACGGGGACCCGCACAAGCGGUGGAUGAUGUGGUUUAAUUCGAUGCUACGCGAAAAACCUUACCCACCUUUGACAUGUACGGAAGUUU
rnacentral:rRNA from 1 species